GGGUAAUACCCAAUUAAAUCUGCUCUCUGCUUUUGAAAAAUUUCAGACCUUGGGUCCUCUCCUCUGCACCACUGCUUAGCGGCGAGAAGUUGAGGAAAAAUAAAGGAAGAAGCUCUCCUUCAACCAGCUAGGGUUUUAAAGUAAAAUAAAAAAUCAGUUCGAUAGAAUGGACCCUAAACACACAGGAGAGGUUUUGAGGCAUUUGGAGAAGCAGAAUGAGCUCCUUAUGGAUGCAUAUAGAUCCAUAUCACACGAAUUGCAUAAACUUCAGGUAGAGGAAGAAAUGCUCAUGCGCAAGUUCUAUGAACUAAUGUCAGCUCAAGGUUUAACAAAAAAGAAUGAAGACAAUAGUGGUUCAAAUAAUGGCGAAAGCGGACAAUCUUCAGCAAUGGUUGCAGUUGGUGAUGAACAGUAGUGUGGAUGUCAAACUCUGAUAAGAUCAUAUAAUGAACCAACUUGAAUUAAGUGUGACAAAAAAUAAAAUGUAAGGAUUGCUCGGGAGAGACACUACUAAGUGAAAUUGGAAAUGGGGCUGCUAGAACUUCAAAUGCUACCAUGCAAAGAAGGUGUUCUUUGUAUAAUGAGAAUCUGUGACUCAAACAGCCUCUUCUUUUGGUUGCCUGCAAGUAGUGAUAGCUUUUCGUCUUAAAGAAUGAAGACAAUGGUGUGGAUGAUGGCAAUUUGAAAUUGGGCCAUCCAGAGCAUCAUUAAUUAUGUGGCUAGCAAUUAAGAAUAGGAUUGAUGUCAAGUUUGUAAAUUCUCUCAUACAUGAAUUACCAUUUUUUUUAAUCUUGUGUGUUGAGAAUAGUCUUUUUUUUGUAAUUAUUUUAUUUUAUACCACUGUUUAUUUAGCA